AUUAACGCUGGCAGAGUGCAUAACACAUGCAAGUCGAGCGAGGUGGCGGAUUAUCGCGCCUAGCGGCAGACGAGUGAGUAACACGUAAGGAACCUGCCCUCGAAAGGUGAAUAACGCAUCGAAAGGUGUGCUAAUACACCGUACUAUCCCCUGAUGGCAUCUUCGGGGGAUGAAAGCCCGCAAGGGCGUUCGAGGAGGGUCUUGCGUCCCAUCAGCUAGUUGGCGGUGUAAUAGACCACCAAGGCUAUGACGGGUACCCGGCCUGAAAGGGCGGACGGGCACGAAGGCACUGAGACACGGGCCUUACUCCUACGGGAGGCAGCAGUGGGGAAUUUUGGACAAUGGGCGAAAGCCUGAUCCAGCAACUCUGCGUGAGGGACGAAGGUCUUCGGAUUGUAAACCUCUUUUAUUGGGGAAGAAAUCCCGCAAGGGUUUGACGGUACCCAGUGAAUAAGCCACGGCUAACUAUGU
rnacentral:rRNA from 1 species